GUCUUCAGAAAGAAAGCAGGGGCAGGUGAUGUGACCAUCUCUGUCUCGCAGAUGGGGAAACUGAGACACCAAAUGUGGAGCCAGGUGUCCACGUUCACACAGGCAGGAGGUGACAGAGAGGGUCAGGGCGCAGCAAGGAAUGGAGCUGCAGUGAGAGCCCAGAGGAACCCAACCACAGCCUCCUGGAGCGGACUGAAACCCGUCCCCAGGCUUUGGAGCUACAUGUGGACCCAGGCUCGGCCACCCCUCCCUGUCUGGGGCCAGGGGAAGACAGCCAAGUGACAGUCAAUCGAGGCCCCAAAACCACCCUGCAGAUGACAAGAACCACAGAACAUCGCCACGCAGGGGCUGGGGAACAUGAAAGCCAAGGUCAUGACAGGAAGGAGAGAGGGCAUGCUCUCCUGUGACCCCAGGAUGCCACCAGGGAGGUGCAGGCUGGAUCCUGCAGGGGACCCAGGGAGGCAGCAGAGCGGGGGUCCUGCAGCGUGCCGGGUGUCAGAUAAGGCCUGCAAAGCUGGGGCAGGGACCAGUAGACAGACAGACGGAAAGAAGGUGCACACAGGCCACGGGGAGGAACGACGGUGGGACGGUGAGCAGUGGUGCCCGGUUAUGCCCAGUUCCCCGUAGCGGGCAUCCCUCACCCCCUAUGGGGCCACGGGGUCCCCCGUCUUUCCAGAGCCCCACCCUGAUUCUUUCUUCUCCUUUCUCCCUCCUUUUCCUCUUUACAAUACAG
rnacentral:lncRNA from 1 species